ACGGAGGGGGCAAGCGUUGUCCGGACUCACUGGGCGUAAAGCGCACGUAGGCGGUUGGCAACGUCGCGACUGAAAGCGCCGGGCUUAACCCGGCGAGGCGUGGCGAUACGAGCCGACUGGAGGCAGGCAGAGGGUGGCGGAAUUCCGGGUGUAGUGGUGAAAUGCGUAGAGAUCCGGAGGAACGCCUGUGGCGCAAGCGGCCACCUGGGCCUGACCUGACGCUGAGGUGCGAAAGCGUGGGGAGCGAACCGGAUUAGAUACCCGGGUAGUCCACGCGGUAAACGAUGCCAGCUCGGUGUCUGGGGCCGUUUUGGCCCUGGGUGCCUUAGCUCACGCGGUAAGCUGGCCGCCUGGGGACUACGAGCGCAAGCUUA
rnacentral:rRNA from 1 species